rnacentral:rRNA from 1 species
GACGAACGCUGGCGGCGUGCUUAACACAUGCAAGUCGAACGGAAAGGCCCUGCUUUUGUGGGGUGCUCGAGUGGCGAACGGGUGAGUAACACGUGAGUAACCUGCCCUUGACUUUGGGAUAACUUCAGGAAACUGGGGCUAAUACCGGAUAGGAGCUCCUGCUGCAUGGUGGGGGUUGGAAAGUUUCGGCGGUUGGGGAUGGACUCGCGGCUUAUCAGCUUGUUGGUGGGGUAGUGGCUUACCAAGGCUUUGACGGGUAGCCGGCCUGAGAGGGUGACCGGCCACAUUGGGACUGAGAUACGGCCCAGACUCCUACGGGAGGCAGAAGUGGGGAAUAUUGCACAAUGGGCGGAAGCCUGAUGCAGCAACGCCGCGUGCGGGAUGACGGCCUUCGGGUUGUAAACCGCUUUCGCCUGUGACGAAGCGUGAGUGACGGUAAUGGGUAAAGAAGCCCCGGCUAACUACGUG